CAUAAAUCACUCAACAAAUCCUCUCACUCCACCACCAUUAGACACAUCACCUAUGCUAGUCUAAAUUUACUUACUUUGCAUUAAAUUUUCUGAUUUGAUGAGGGUGAGGCUCUCUUAUGAAUACCUCACCCCAUUCUCUCAUUUUUACACUAAAUUCCCUAUACAAACUAAGGUAGUCUUUUAUUUUCUCUUCUUCAUCUU
rnacentral:lncRNA from 1 species